GAUCUUUAUUUUUGUUAAUUAUAAAUUAAAAAGAAUAUUUAAAUUUAUAUUUUAAUAAAAAAUUUUACUGGGGUGGUAUUAAAAUUUAAAUAACUUUUAUUGUUUAUUUACAUUAAUAUAUGAAUAAUUGAUCCAGUUUUAUUGAUUAAAAAAUUAAGUUACCUUAGGGAUAACAGCGUAAUUUUUUUUUAGAGUUCAUAUCGACAAAAAAGAUUGC
rnacentral:rRNA from 1 species